rnacentral:rRNA from 1 species
UACAGAGGGUGCGAGCGUAAUCGGAAUUACUGGGCGUAAAGCGCACGUAGUCGGCUUUGCAAGUCGGUUGUGAAAUCCCCGGGCUCAACCUGGGAACUGCAUCCGAGACUGCAUUGCUAGAGUAUGGGAGAGGAAAGCGGAAUUUCUGGUGUAGCAGUGAAAUGCGUAGAUAUCAGAAGGAACAUCAGUGGCGAAGGCGGCUUUCUGGACC